rnacentral:rRNA from 1 species
CCUACGGGGGGCAGCAGUGGGGAAUAUUGCGCAAUGGGCGAAAGCCUGACGCAGCGACGCCGCGUGAGGGAUGAAGGUCUUCGGAUCGUAAACCUCUGUUAGCAGGGAAGAACGGUCACUGUGCUAAUCAGCAGUGAAUUGACGGUACCUGCAAAGGAAGCACCGGCUAACUCCGUGCCAGCAGCCGCGGUAAUACGGAGGGUGCGAGCGUUAAUCGGAAUUACUGGGCGUAAAGCGCUCGUAGGCGGUAUGUCAAGUCAAGGGUGAAAUCCCCGCGCUCAACGUGGGAACUGCCUUUGAAACUGGCAAACUGGAGUGUGUUAGAGGAUAGUGGAAUUCCAGGUGUAGGAGUGAAAUGCGUAGAGAUCUGGAGGAACAUCAGUGGCGAAGGCGACUAUCUGGCACAUAACUGACGCUGAGGAGCGAAAGCGUGGGUAGCAAACAGGAUUAGAUACCCGGGUAGUC